rnacentral:rRNA from 1 species
UACGAAGGGGGCAAGCAUUGUUCGGAAUUACUGGGCGUAAAGGGUGCGUAGGCGGAUUGAUAAGUCAGAUGUGAAAUCCCAAGGCUCAACCUUGGAAUUGCAUUUGAAACUGACAGUCUGGAGUUGUGGAGAGGAUCGUGGAAUUCCCAGUGUAGAGGUGAAAUUCGUAGAUAUUGGGAGGAACACCAGUGGCGUAGGCGACGAUCUGGCCAACAACUGACGCUGAGGCACGAAAGUGUGGGGAGCAAACAGG